rnacentral:lncRNA from 1 species
AUUUUUUCAUAUAGGUAUAGAAGGAAAUAUGUGUACAUGGAGAUAUUUUCUUGGUUAUUUUUUCUCCUUAGUAAUAAUAUCUGGUGAUUUUUGCACCUCUUUGCUCUUCCAGUCCAUCAUUAUUUUAGAAUCAUAAAACCAUGGAAUUCCUGAGUAAAAGGAGACCUCCAAAGUGGCUUACUCUAAUCACCACCAGAAAUAUUUAUCUCCUCCCUAUCACCAAACCAUAAUAAUCAUGUAGAUUCUAUUUGGACAUCUUGUAUGGCAUGGAAUUUGUUACACAUUGUAAUAGCGAGGGGGGCUUAGAAAGGGAAGGAACAACUGAACAACUCUUUGGGGACUGAAUUCUAUGUGACACUUCCUCUUUCUUUCACUGAGUUGAGCAGUUACUAAUGGAGUCAGUCAGUCCAGAUUUAAGGGCAUGCUUGAAUUUUUAUUAUCUCGCCCAACAAUGAACAUGAUAGGGGAUCAAGAAACUUCAAGGAUGACUCUAAUCUUCAUUUGGCUUCUACAGCAUCAUGUAAUCUUGAUUAAAUUAUUUGAUUUCCUUUGCUAGGCCUCCAGAUCCUUAUCCAUAAAAUGAGAUUAUUGGACUGAAUCAUGUAUGAAUUAUCUUCUAACUUUUUGUGGGCAUAUAGUAGGGCAUAAACAACUGUUAGCAUGAAGAAAAACCUCAAGUUAGGAAGAGACAUUUGAACUGAGACUUAACGGAAACUUGAACUUAGAGCUCAUUCUCACUAUCUAUUAACAUGCCUAUCUUCUCCCAAAAAAAGGGGUGGGGGCAUGGGGAGAGUAUAGGAUAAGAGAACUCUCCUUGAACAUGCCAUCCCCUUAGGCUAUUUCCUAUAUCCUCUCUCUUUCACAACCAAACUAGUUCCUCA